AUUGAACGCUGGCGGCAGGCCUAACACAUGCAAGUCGAGCGAGCGGCGGACGGGUGAGUAAUGCCUGGGAAUUGCCCAGUCGAGGUCGAUAACAGUUGGAACCUACUGCUCAUACCUCAUACGAUUUUAUUGCCCAGGUGGGAUUAGCUAGUUGGUGAGGUAAUGGCUCACCAAGGCGACGAUCCCUAGCUGGUCUGAGAGGAUGAUCAGCCACACUGGAACUGAGACACGGUCCAGACUCCUACGGGAGGCAGCAGUGGGGAAUAUUGCACAAGGGGGGAAACCCUGAUGCAGCCAUGCCGCGUGUGUGAAGAAGGCCUUCGGGUUGUAAAGCACUUUCAGCGGGGAGGCGUUACUCGCAGAAGAAGCACCGGCUAACUCCGUGCCAGCAGCCGCGGUAAUAC
rnacentral:rRNA from 1 species